AUUGAACGCUGGCGGCAGGCCUAACACAUGCAAGUCGAGCGCGCGGCGGACGGGUGAGUAAUGUCUGGGAAACUGCCUGAUGGAGGGGGAUAACUACUGGAAACGGUAGCUCAUACCGCAUAUCAUCACAUGUGCCCAGAUGGGAUUAGCUAGUAGGUGGGGUAACGGCUCACCUAGGCGACGAUCCCUCGCUGGGGUGUGAGGGUGACCAGCAACAUUGGAACGGAGACACGGUCCAGACUCCUACGGGAGGCAGCAGUGGGGAAUAUUGCACAAUGGGCGCAAGCCUGAUGCAGCCAUGCCGCGUGUGUGAAGAAGGCCUUCGGGUUGUAAAGCACUUUCAGCGGGGAGGCGUUACCCGCAGAAGAAGCACCGGCUAACUCCGUGCCAACAGCCGCGGUAAUUC
rnacentral:rRNA from 1 species